AUGAACGCUGGCGGCAUGCCUAAGACAUGCAAGUCGAACGAGAUGGCCCAUUGAAGAAUGAGUGCUUGCACGAUUUUGGAUUUGGAUCACCAUCUAGUGGCAGACGGGUGAGUAACACGUGGGUGACCUACCUUCAAGUUGGGGAUAACAGUUGGAAACGAUUGCUAAUACCGAAUAAGACAUAUUUGUCAUGGAUAUGUUGAAAGGAGCCUUUAAAGCUUCACUUAAAGAUGGGCCUGCGGCGUAUUAAUUAGUUGGUGGGGUAACGGCCUACCAAGAUAGCGAUGCGUAGCCGAACUGAGAGGUUGAGCGGCCACACUGGAACUGAGAUACGGUCCAGACUCCUACGGGAGACAGCAGUUAGGAAUAUUCGUCAAUGGGGGGAACCCUGAACGAGCAAUGCCGCGUGAGUGAUGAAGGUCUUUGGAUUGUAAAACUCUGUUGUAUGGAAAAAAUAGCUAGGUUAGGAAAUGAACUUAGUUUGAUGGUACCAUACCAGAAAGUCCCGGCUAACUACGUGCCAGCAGCCGCGGUAAUACGUAGGGGACAAGCGUUAUCCGGAUUUAUUGGGCGUAAAGCGUGCGUAGGCGGCAUAUUAAGUUUAAGAUAAAAGCCCGGGGCUUAACUCCGGUUCGUCUUAAAAACUGAUAAGCUUGAGUGUGGUAGAGGUAAAUGGAAUUUCUAGUGUAGCGGUGAAAUGCGUAGAUAUUAGAAGGAACACCAGUGGCGAAGGCGAUUUACUGGGCCACAACUGACGCUGAGGCACGAAAGCGUGGGUAGCAAAUAGGAUUAGAUACCCUAGUAGUCCACGCCGUAAACGAUGAGUACUAAGUGUUGGGGAAACUCAGUGCUGAAGCUAACGUAUUAAGUACUCCGCCUGAGUAGUACGGUCGCAAGGCUGAAACUCAAAGGAAUUGACGGGCACCCGCACAAGCGGUGGAGCAUGCUGUUUAAUUCGAAGAUACGCGAAGAACCUUACCUAGACUUGACAUCCCUGGCAAAGAUAUAGAAAUAUAUCGGAGGUUAUCCAGGUGACAGGUGGUGCAUGGUUGUCGUCAGCUCGUGUCGUGAGAUGUUCGGUUAAGUCCGAUAACGAGCGCAACCCUUGUCCUUAGUUGCUAACAUUAAGUUGAGAACCCUAAGGAGACUGCCGGUGACAAACCGGAGGAAGGUGGGGAUGACGUCAAAUCAUCAUGCCCCUUACGUCUAGGGCUACAGGCGUGCUAUAAUGGCCGGUAUAAUGAGAUGCAAUAUCGUGAGAUGGAGCCAAACUCCAAAGCCGGUCUCAGUUCGGAUUGAAGUCUGCAACUCGACUUCAUGAAGCUAGAAUCGCUAGUAAUCCCGAAUCAGAAUGUCGGGGUGAAUACGUUCCCGGGUGUUGUACACACCGCCCGUCACGCCACGAAAGUCUGUAAUACCCGAAUGUGGUAGCCUAACCUUUUAGGAGGGGGCCACAAAAGGCAGGACAGGUGAUUGGGGUG
rnacentral:rRNA from 1 species